AGCAGAAAAAGGCAAAGAUAAUAAAAAAACCCUUCGAUCCCAAAUCCCCAAUCCCCAAUCUCUCAGGCUCUCAGCCCUCGACCUAAUCCACUGCCGCCCCCGACCUGCGCCGCUGCCCCGACCCACUGCGCCGCCGGCCAUACCCACUGCGCUGCCGCCCCGCCUACGCGCCGCCACCCGUCCGCUGGCCCUCCGUCGCGCCACAACUCUCUAGCCCGUUGCGCACCACCCUUCCAGGAGCUGCAGCUCCGUCCGCUGCGCGAGGAGCAGCAACACCGUCGACCACCACCGGCAAGGAGAAGCAGCAGCAGCGCGUCCACCUUGCCGAGGAGCAGCAGCGUGUUCACCUCGCCGAGAGCAGCAACCUGUCCACCUCGUCGAGGAGUAGCAACUCGUCAAGGAUCCACCUCCACGGUUGACCUCCAUUCCUGCUACUUUCCUCUGCCCCGUCUACUGAAUUCAAGAGCAACAUUGAUAUUCUGAAUCUCUACAGCAACAUCGAUAUUCCGAAUCUGUACAUUUCACUUGUAGUCUCUGAAUUAGUUGUGAAGGUGCAGUCACCAUGGACAAAAGGUGGAUGGAUGAGCCUAGGGACAAAUGGCAGAAAGUAGCAAGUAGUGAAGUUGAUCUAGGAUGUUCCACUGAUCGCUUUUGACCAUAACAUGGAACAUUGUCGACGCAUUUUGAGCAUAUGGAAGUUGAUGUCGGCUUGAUCGAAGACUGGGUAUCUUCCAUAAUAUUUUGUAGUAGUCAAGUGAUAAAAUGAUCGGUCUUUUGAGAACUUGCUCAUAUUUUGUAAUAGGACAUGACCAGAAUGUCGACUCUGACAUAUGCCACUUGGCUAUUUUCUUAGUGGAUGUAGCUACUUGAGUGAAGAAACCCAGUGAAUCUUCUAUGAAUGUUGAAUGGAUGAUGUGCCUGUUAUCUUGUUAUGAAUGGAACAGUGUAAGUGGAAUCAUCUAUAUAUCUUAGAAUGAAUGCA